GUUUGGGGGCGGACGGAUCGUAGUACCCGCAUGAUUGGUGUGUUGAGUGAUUCUGCCCUGGGCCUGUCCCUUGGACUUGAGCGGUCCAGUGGCGCCGCCUUCCACUUCCUUGAUGUUAGCGUGGAGGUUGGGCAUGGUGAAUAUAUUGCCAAGGUUUGUCGAGGGCCCACCUGUGCCCCGGUUUUGGUCCCUGCCUGGUCGCGGGGCCCCGUGCGCUAUAGGUUGGCGGCGUUCGGGGCGCUCUUUUGGAGGAUUUUUGCACGUGUCACCGACUGGAGGGGUAGGCUUGAAGAGCGUGAUUGUGUUUACGCUUAUGGCCGUGAAUGUGGCUGUUCCGCUGGAGUUGUGGACGGUGC
rnacentral:lncRNA from 1 species